UUUCCACCAAAUUGAGGGCUCCAAUCUAGUCUAAAUCGAUUUCCAAGCACAAAUUCGUGAUCACUUCGUUGAAGGGAUCAUAAGGCGAGGAAUCCGGAUCGUCGAGUGGACAAGCUGGAGAAGAUACGCGUUUGAAGGGUGCGCUUUAAAGGUGAUGUUCGUUAGCUACGGAUGCCGAUCAAGCGUGAUAAAGAACCGAACACUAUUUUUGAAGACUUCCGCGCUAAUCUCUUCUAGC